CUGACAUGUCCAGUUUAGUACUAACUGCCCUGCCUUGGUGCGAAGGCCACUGGUGGAGGGAUGUAGUAUGACAUUGCCAAGGAUCUCAGGUGUCAGAACUUGUGCCAGGAGUUGCUGCAAAUCUAAAUAGAACGCAGCCCCCUCCCUGAACAGAAGUAUAACACACACAGACUCACACAUCAAACAAAGUACCGUGGCAUCACUCUCGGGUCUCCAAUCAAUCACCUGUAUGUUCUGAAUCCUUGUGAUUUAUGACUGAACAACUGGUUGACCAGAUCCAGAGUCAACAGUACCGUGGCCUGAGAUGACUUCUCUCCUUCUAGUAGGGGAAAUGCUGCUGUAUAAAACAGAAGUCUUACUCUACAAGCAGUUUUUCAAAUGUGAAUUAUCACUGCAAAUAAUCUUUUGAUAACAGAGUCUCACUAUGUCGCCCUUGGUAGACAUAGCAUCACAGCUCACAGCAAUCUUAAACUCUUGGGCUCAAGUGAUUCUCUCGCCUCAGCCUCCCAAGUAGUUGGGACUACAGAUGCCCUCCGCAAUGCCUGGCUAUUUUGUUGUUGCUGUUGUCAUCAUUGUUUUAGCUGGCCUGGGCUGGGUUCAAACCCGCCACCCUCUGUUUAUGUGGCUGGUGCUGUAACCACUGUGCUAUAAGCACUGAGUCAAAACUUCUUGUCUAUAGACAUAGAAAUGAAUUUUUUCUGGUAGAGGGACGACACUCACUGGCUCCUCCUCCCACCUCCUCCCCCAGGCAGAAGCAGUUUGCGGCCAUGUCCACAUUCAUUUCAAUGUUUUUUACUCUAUGAAAGUUUGUGCUGCUUUGACUUCUCCUUUGAACCAAUUGCUUGGUUUCUCCGCUUAGUUAAUGAGUUAAAUAAAAUCUUUAACACAUGUCUAUUCUAUAUUUAGAGAUAAACAGAGCGAAUCAUGAAAGUCAUGAUUUUGCUUCUUUUGAAAAUAUCUUUUGGGCAGCACCUAUGACUCAAAGGAGUGGGGCGCUGGCCCCAUAUGCCAGAGGUGGCAGGUUCAAACCCAGCCACGGCCAAAAACAAAACCAGGAAAAAAAAAAAAAGAAAGAAAAUAUCUCUUAAUACCACAAACAUAAGAUUCCAAGAGUAAGUAAAAAUUUAGAAAGUUUUGAAUACUGGAUAGGAAAGAAAGUC